AGAGAGAGAGACAGCCAGUGAGAGAGGGAACACAAGCAGGGGGAGUGGGAGAGGAAGAAGCAGGCUCCCAGCCGAGGAACCUGAUGUGGGGCUCCAUCCCAGAACGCCGGGAUCACGCCCUGAGCCGAAGGCAGAUGCUUAAUGACUGAGCCACCCAAGUGCCCCUGCAUUAUGUUUCAAACAGAAGAAAUAUUACCAACCACCACGGGAGAGAAAAUAACUACAGGGGGAAAGAUUGUGGCUUCUUACUCCACCUGUCAGGCCACCCAGGAUUUGAGGCUGGAAAUCACACACACAUCAUUCAGCAACACAAGGAUCAGUUUUCCCUCUGAGGGCUUCAGCUGGAGAAAUUUUCUGCUGGGAAGUUCAUCCUCAAGGAGAAAGCUGGGACCAGUGCUUUCAAAAGUCAGACAUGACAUAAGAAUUGGAAGUGGAGGUCGAUUUGGGAGGAAAGCUGUGGCCAUAAACAUUGAAGAAGACGAGCAGAUUCUUGGUGACAUUGAGACUUUGUACACCACCACAGUGGAGGAAAUGCCAGUGAACGUGGCUCACAGCACUCGCUCUUGUGGACGAGGCGAUAGUGGUCAGAGGGAUAAAGAAGAGAAGAGGAGAGUAAAGGAAUAUCGAGAAGCAGCUGGCAGGCCCCACCCCAAGUCUGGGAGCUGUGCUCCACAGCUAUGCAAAAAACACUGCUUCACGAGAGAGUUCUUUAACUUUUCCUGGACUAAGCUGGUUUACUACAGUCACUUCUCAUUAACUCCACCUCACCCCUGCUGGUAACUCAUUUCUUUGUUAAGUCUACUUUUUGAUCCUAAAAUACAAGCAGAACCAACCGUAUUCAUUGAAAUUGUAAUUAAGGUGAUGAGGUCUGCAUUUUAAUUGACAUUAAACCACCACAGUUUCCAGUAUUUCAAUUCCCCCUGUAUUUGAGUAUUUUCUAUGUAAGUACUUAUACCAGGCACAAAGGAAAAUAAUAAAGUAAUAGUGUCUUCCA
rnacentral:lncRNA from 1 species